CAGCAAUAGCUCAAAUUUGAAAUCUGGCGUCUUCGACGUCCGAGUUGUAAUUUGUAGAGGAUGCUUCUGAGUAACCACCGACCUAAGUUCCUUGGAACAGGACGUCAUAGAGGGUGAGAAUCCCGUAUGCGGUCGGAAAGGUGCUCUAUACGUAGCUCCUUCGACGAGUCGAGUUGUUUGGGAAUGCAGCUCUAAAUGGGAGGUAAAUUUCUUCUAAAGCUAAAUAUUGGCCAGAGACCGAUAGCGCACAAGUAGAGUGAUCGAAAGAUGAAAAGCACUUUGGAAAGAGAGUUAAAAAGCACGUGAAAUUGUUAAAAGGGAAGGGAUUGCAACCAGACUUGCUCGCGGUGUUCCGCCGGUCUUCUGACCGGUCUACUCGCCGCGUUGCAGGCCAGCAUCGUCUGGUGCCGCUGGAUAAGACUUGAGGAAUGUAGCUCCCUCGGGAGUGUUAUAGCCUCUUGUGAUGCAGCGAGCGCCGGGCGAGGUCCGCGCUUCGGCUAGGAUGCUGGCGUAAUGGUCGUAAUCCGCCCGUCUUG
rnacentral:rRNA from 1 species